rnacentral:rRNA from 1 species
AGACCCGAAACCCGGUGAUCUAGCCAUGGGCAGGUUGAAGGUUGGGUAACACUAACUGGAGGACCGAACCGACUAAUGUUGAAAAAUUAGCGGAUGACUUGUGGCUGGGGGUGAAAGGCCAAUCAAACCGGGAGAUAGCUGGUUCUCCCCGAAAGCUAUUUAGGUAGCGCCUCGUGAAUUCAUCUCCGGGGGUAGAGCACUGUUUCGGCAAGGGGGUCAUCCCGACUUACCAACCCGAUGCAAACUGCGAAUACCGGAGAAUGUUAUCACGGGAGACACACGGCGGGUGCUAACGUCCGUCGUGAAGAGGGAAACAACCCAGACCGCCAGCUAAGGUCCCAAAGUCAUGGUUAAGUGGGAAACGAUGUGGGAAGGCCCAGACAGCCAGGAUGUUGGCUUAGAAGCAGCCAUCAUUUAAAGAAAGCGUAAUAGCUCACUGGUCGAGUCGGCCUGCGCGGAAGAUGUAACGGGGCUAAACCAUGCACCGAAGCUGCGGCAGCGACACUGUGUGUUGUUGGGUAGGGGAGCGUUCUGUAAGCCUGUGAAGGUGUGCUGUGAGGCAUGCUGGAGGUAUCAGAAGUGCGAAUGCUGACAUAAGUAACGAUAAAGCGGGUGAAAAGCCCGCUCGCCGGAAGACCAAGGGUUCCUGUCCAACGUUAAUCGGGGCAGGGUGAGUCGACCCCUAAGGCGAGGCCGAAAGGCGUAGUCGAUGGGAAACAGGUUAAUAUUCCUGUACUUGGUGUUACUGCGAAGGGGGGACGGAGAAGGCUAUGUUGGCCGGGCGACGGUUGUCCCGGUUUAAGCGUGUAGGCUGGUUUUCCAGGCAAAUCCGGAAAAUCAAGGCUGAGGCGUGAUGACGAGGCACUACGGUGCUGAAGCAACAAAUGCCCUGCUUCCAGGAAAAGCCUCUAAGCAUCAGGUAACAUCAAAUCGUACCCCAAACCGACACAGGUGGUCAGGUAGAGAAUACCAAGGCGCUUGAGAGAACUCGGGUGAAGGAACUAGGCAAAAUGGUGCCGUAACUUCGGGAGAAGGCACGCUGAUAUGUAGGUGAAGUCCCUCGCGGAUGGAGCUGAAAUCAGUCGAAGAUACCAGCUGGCUGCAACUGUUUAUUAAAAACACAGCACUGUGCAAACACGAAAGUGGACGUAUACGGUGUGACGCCUGCCCGGUGCCGGAAGGUUAAUUGAUGGGGUCAGCGCAAGCGAAGCUCUUGAUCGAAGCCCCGGUAAACGGCGGCCGUAACUAUAACGGUCCUAAGGUAGCGAAAUUCCUUGUCGGGUAAGUUCCGACCUGCACGAAUGGCGUAAUGAUGGCCAGGCUGUCUCCACCCGAGACUCAGUGAAAUUGAACUCGCUGUGAAGAUGCAGUGUACCCGCGGCAAGACGGAAAGACCCCGUGAACCUUUACUAUAGCUUGACACUGAACAUUGAGCCUUGAUGUGUAGGAUAGGUGGGAGGCUUUGAAGUGUGGACGCCAGUCUGCAUGGAGCCGACCUUGAAAUACCACCCUUUAAUGUUUGAUGUUCUAACG